UAGCGUAGGGGGCUAGCGUUGUCCGGAAUCGAUUGGGCGUAAAGAGCGUGUAGGCGGCCCGGUAAGUCCGCUGUGAAAGUCGGGGGCUCAACCCUCGAAUGCCGGUGGAUACUGUCGGGCUAGAGUGCGGAAGAGGCGAGUGGAAUUCCUGGUGUAGCGGUGAAAUGCGCAGAUAUCAGGAGGAACACCAAUUGCGAAGGCAGCUCGCUGGGACGUAACUGACGCUGAGACGCGAAAGCGUGGGGAGCAAACAGG
rnacentral:rRNA from 1 species